rnacentral:lncRNA from 1 species
UGAAGAUGCAAAUUCGAUUCCCAGCACCCAAGAGGUGGAUCAAAAUUACCUUGUAACUCCAGUUCCAUGUUAUCUGUUAGAUGCCUUUUUCUGUCUUCUUCAGACUCCUGCACACAUGUGGUGCAUAUGCAUACACCCAGGCAAACAUACAGAUAAAAUGAAUGGUUUGAAAAGAUGUGGAGGAGAAGGAGUGCCUGGUAUUAUUAGAAUCUUAAAGGUGUCCUGUGUUGGGUGCCAUUCACACGUUAUUAUGGAAGUUGGAGUCUCCUUUUUGGUUCUUAAUCUUAUUAAUAAGAGAAUUUAAGGGGCUAGAAAGUUGGCUUAGCAGUUAAGAAAUUUAAUGCUUUUUCUUUUCUUUUUUUUUAAUAAAGAUUUAUUUAUUUUAUUUAUAUGAAUAAGUUGUCAGUGCUCUUAACUGCUGAGCCAUCUCUCCAGCCCUUAAUGUUUUUUCAAAGUACUCAUGUACUUUGAAAGUACUUAAUGCUUUUUCAAAGUACUUAUGAAUGUACUCAGAGGGGAGUGCAAGAGCAGUUUUAUUAGCGUUUAUAAGAAAAACAACAAGAGAGUUGAAUAUGUUCAAUAUUCAAGAGCUCUGGGUGCUCUUCCAGAGGAUCUGGUUUCAAUUGCUAGCACCCACACAUCAGCUCAACCAUUUGUACCUUCAUUUACAGACCAGCAGGCAUCUACAUCAUACACAGGCAUUUACCCAACAAAACACCCAUACACACUAAAAAAAAAAA